rnacentral:rRNA from 1 species
UCCAGACUCCUACGGGGGGCAGCAGUGGGGGAUAUUGCACAAUGGGGGGAACCCUGAUGCAGCGACGCCGCGUGGGUGAAGAAGCGCCUCGGCGCGUAAAGCCCUGUCAGCAGGGAAGAAAAUGACGGUACCUGAAGAAGAAGCCCCGGCUAACUACGUGCCAGCAGCCGCGGUAAUACGUAGGGGGCAAGCGUUAUCCGGAAUUAUUGGGUGUAAAGGGUGCGUAGACGGAAGAACAAGUUGGUUGUGAAAUCCCUCGGCUCAACUGAGGAACUGCAACCAAAACUAUUCUCCUUGAGUGUCGGAGAGGAAAGUGGAAUUCCUAGUGUAGCGGUGAAAUGCGUAGAUAUUAGGAGGAACACCAGUGGCGAAGGCGACUUUCUGGACGAUAACUGACGUUGAGGCACGAAAGUGUGGGGAGCAAACAGGAUUAGAUACCCCAGUA